UACGUAGGAGACGAGCGUUGUCCGGAGUUACUGGGCGUAAAGGGUGCGCAGGUGGCUGUGCGCGUGGGGGGUGAAAUCUCCUGGCUCAACUGGGAGGGUGGUCGCGAGACGGCUGGGCUUGAGGCUCGGUGAGGGGCGUGGAAUUCCGGGUGGAGCGGUGAAAUGCGUAGAGAUCCGGAGGAACACCGACGGCGUAGGCAGCGCCCUAGACGAGACCUGACGCUCAGGCACGAAAGCGCGGGGAGCGAACAGG
rnacentral:rRNA from 1 species